AAGUCGUAACAAGGUAACCGUAGGUGAACCUGCGGUUGGAUCAUUACAGAGAGAAACAGGAUUCUGCUGUUACUGCUGUAGUCCUGUGCCGAAUGCUCAGUGCAUGUGGCGCAACACCUUUUGUGAACUGUUUUUGUCCCUGGCAGUGGGGUGGGGGAGGGUGCACACCCUUCCGUGCCUGUCAGCCCAGGACCCGUCCGGGUUCUCGGCCGUGGACAAGCUGCCAACCGUGUAUGCGGAACACCUUUUCUGUUAACCUGCUGGCUGACAACGAUGAACCAUUCCAACAAAAUGAUUCAAACAACUUUUGGCAACGGAUCUCUUGGCUCUC
rnacentral:misc_RNA from 1 species